CAAGACAUUGUUAUAACACCACCCAAAGCAACAAACUAAAAUCGCACUCUCGGUUCUAUCUUAUUUCUGUACCUCAAAACCCUAGCUUCUCUGUCCACGCCCUAGAUCUGCUUCGCCUCCGUCCCAAUCUGUCUGCUUCGCAACUGUCUCACCUGUGCUCCGUCCCAACUGUUCGAUGCGUCGGCCACGUCGGCGACCACCAGAGACGACGGUGACAACACCUGCCAUUAAAUCAUCAACUCGUCACACACCUCAAACGGCUGUUACCGGAAGACCUGAGAAGAUUAUUGGCCGCAUGAAGUCAUAUUUUGAUUUUCUUUCUAAUAGAAGUUGGCAACAAGUUUGAUUCAGUUGCAUACUCCCCCGGUUGAUAUUUGGUACGCAUCUACUGCAAAUUUUGAGCAUUUCGAAUGCAGAGAAUCUGUUCGUAAAUAGAUCGGCGUUGAAAGAUGAUAGGAAUUACGAAAUCGGGAUACCUGGAAUGGCAGGUAGUGGAAAAACGAGGAUGCCGAAGAAAUCGCCAAACAAGCUGAAAAAGAUAAGCUUUUUUAUGAGGUUGCCAAGGCAGUCUUCUCCCAAAAUCCAGAUCUAAAAAAACAAAGGUGGUCAAAUCUGUCAUUCAAACCAGAGAUUGAAGUUGGGAGAAAGGGGAGCUCCACGACAGAUUGAAGAAUGGUAAAAAAGAUUCAUUCUAAUAAUUGAUGACAUUUGGAAUGAUAGAAAUUAAGUUGGAGGAAAUAGAAAUCUCAUCUUCAAAUCAAGGGCUGCAAAGUUUUGCUGAUCUCCCGGAGAAAAGUUGUGCGCAUUCAACUUAAUUGUACAAGUGCAUCAUCCCACACAUGCUUUUCUGUUGAUAGCUCAGUGUUGCUCGAACUACAAUUGAGAAAAGCAUGUUGGGAUGAUGCCCUUGUAUAAUUGAGAAAUUGCAGGGGAGAGAACAUCCAUGCAUAGAGUGGAGCUACAAGUAUCUAAUGCGACCUUGUUUCCAGGGGAUGCUGAGAUUCCGAUUGAUGACUUGGCGAUGUAUGGAGUGGCAAUGAGGUUUCUCAAUGAUAGCUAAUAUACAAUGAAAACAACCAAAGAUAGAACAUUUGUGUUGGUUGAUAACCUGUAGAAAUCUCAUUUGCUGUUGGAAGGUGAAAGCGAGGACUUCGUCAAAAUGCAUGCCAUCUCAAUUGCAUCAAAAGAGGGAUUUUUAGCCAAAAUGGGUGUCCCAAAGUGGCCAGAGAAAGAUGAGUAUGAAUCUCGUGGGGUAUUCUCAUUGAUAUCCCAAAAUAUUUGUGAGCUUCCUUGUGUCUUGAACUCUGCCUCUUGGUAUUGUUAUGCGACUUCAAUCGUAAACCAUGUGGUGUAUUCUCAUUGAUAUCCCAAAACAUAUGUGAGCUUCCCUGUGUCCAGAACUACGCACAUUGUCAUUGUUAUGCGACCUCAAUCGUAAACCACAAAUUCCAUAUAGCUUUUUUUAAAGGGACGGAAAAGCUUGAAGUUUUAGAUUUGGGUGGUGUGCGACUGCCAUCAUCACCUCUAAAUCUGAUCAACCUUCAAAUGUUGGGUCCCUAUUAUUGUGGGCAGGUGAACUUGGUUUUUCCAAGGAGCUAAGAAAUCUUGAGGUACUAAGUGUUUAUGAUUCUAUUCUCAAAGAGGUGGCUCUGGAAAUAGGACAGUUGAGGAAUUGUACUUUUUCAUAUGAAUGUCGGCGGUGGACUGAAGAAGGGAAUAAUGCCAGGCUGAUGAACUUAAUUUAUAGACACGCCUAACCACUUUUUCCUCAUAAAAAAGCACCACUUUUUCCUCAUAAAAAAGCUUAUCUUUUUCAGCUUGUUUGGCGAUUUCUUCCGCCAUCCUCGUCUUUCCAACACCUGCCAUUCCAUGUAUCCCGAUUUUGUAAUUCCUAUCAUCUCUCAACGCAUCUGUUUAUGAACCGAUUCUUUGGAUCCGAAAUGCUCAAAUGUUAUGGUAGAUGUGUACCAAAUAUCAACCAGAGGAGCAGGGUGUCCAACUAUAUCGAACUUUUUGUCAGCCUCUAUUAGCCUAGAAACAUCAGACAAUAACUCUCUACCUUCCUGACCAAGCUGAUGCCUUGGAAGUUCGCUCUCCUUGAUUGUUCUCCUGAUUCUUUUUCCUUCAGAAGGACCCAGUUGGUUGGUGGUUGAUAAUCUUUGAUUGAUCUCCUUGUUUUGAUGUUUUUUUUACUCAAUCAUGUAUAAGAUGGUGACAUUUAUGAAGUUCUUGAUUGAUUGUCUUAGCUA